UGGGGAAUUGUUCACAAUGGGCGCAAGCCUGAUGACGCAACGCCGCGUGGGGGAUGAAGGUCUUCGGAUCGUAAACCCCUGUCGAAUGGGACGAAAGACUCGCGAGUGAAUACUUCGCGAGAGUGACGGUACCGUUAAAGGAAGCCACGGCUAACUCUGUGCCAGCAGCCGCGGUAAUACAGAGGUGGCAAGCGUUGUUCGGAAUUACUGGGCGUAAAGGGCGCGUAGGCGGCCCUCUAAGUCAGACGUGAAAUCCCCCGGCUUAACCUGGGAACUGCGUCUGAUACUGGAGGGCUUGAGUAUGGGAGAGGGAUGUAGAAUUCCAGGUGUAGCGGUGAAAUGCGUAGGUAUCUGGAGGAAUACCGGUGGCGAAGGCGGCAUCCUGGACCAUUACUGACGCUGAGGCGCGAAAGCUAGGGGAGCAAACGGGAUUAGAUACCCACGUAGUCCCUGAGCGGGCUGGCAAGGCGCAU
rnacentral:rRNA from 1 species